CCUACGGGUGGCAGCAGUGAGGAAUAUUGGUCAAUGGGCGCGAGCCUGAACCAGCCAAGUAGCGUGAAGGAUGACUGCCCUAUGGGUUGUAAACUUCUUUUAUAUGGGAAUAAAGUGCGGUACGUAUACCUCUUUGUAUGUACUUUAUGAAUAAGGAUCGGCUAACUCCGUGCCAGCAGCCGCGGUAAUACGGAGGAUCCGAGCGUUAUCCGGAUUUAUUGGGUUUAAAGGGAGCGUAGAUGGGUUGUUAAGUCAGUUGUGAAAGUUUGCGGCUCAACCGUAAAAUUGCAUUUGAUACUGGCAUCCUUGAGUACAGUAGAGGUAGGCGGAAUUCGUGGUGUAGCGGUGAAAUGCUUAGAUAUCACGAAGAACUCCGAUUGCGAAGGCAGCCUGCUAAACUGCAACUGACGUUGAUGCUCGAAAGUGUGGGUAUCAAACAGGAUUAGAUACCCCUGUAGUC
rnacentral:rRNA from 1 species